rnacentral:rRNA from 1 species
AACGAACGCUGGCGGCAGGCCUAACACAUGCAAGUCGAGCGCGCCCUUCGGGGUGAGCGGCGGACGGGUUAGUAACGCGUGGGAAUAUACCCUUUGGUACGGAAUAGCCUCUGGAAACGGAGAGUAAUACCGUAUGAGCCCUUCGGGGGAAAGAUUUAUCGCCAAAGGAUUAGCCCGCGUUAGAUUAGGUAGUUGGUGGGGUAAUGGCCUACCAAGCCUACGAUCUAUAGCUGGUUUUAGAGGAUGAUCAGCAACACUGGGACUGAGACACGGCCCAGACUCCUACGGGAGGCAGCAGUGGGGAAUCUUGGACAAUGGGGCAACCCUGACACAGCCAUGCCGCGUGAGUGAAGAAGGCCUUAGGGUUGUAAAUCUCUUUCAGAUGUGAGGAUGAUGACGAUAGCAUCACAAGAAGCUCCGGCUAACUUCGUGCCAGCCGCCGCGGUAAUAC